GGGGGGAGGCAGGAUCUUGGGCUGUGUCCCCGGCGCCCUGUGCUCCCGUGUCUGCGUGUUGGAUUCCCGCUCCUGGCCGCGCAGCCCCCU
rnacentral:pre_miRNA from 1 species